AACGAACGCUGGCGGCGCGCCUAAUACAUGCAAGUCGAGCGAGAAGACGUAGCAAUACGUUUGUAAAGCGGCGAACGGGUGAGGAAUACAUGGGUAACCUACCCUCGAGUGGGGAAUAACUAGCCGAAAGGUUAGCUAAUACCGCGUACGCUCCUUGGACUUCGGUUCAGGGAGGAAAGCGAUACCGUGGGUAUCGCGCUCUUGGAUGGGCUCAUGUCCUAUCAGCUUGUUGGUGAGGUAACGGCUCACCCAAGGCUUCGACGGGUAGCUGGUCUGAGAGGACGAUCAGCCACACUGGCACUGCGACACGGGCCAGACUCCUACGGGAGGCAGCAGUAAGG
rnacentral:rRNA from 1 species